GAGUGGCGGACGGGUGAGUAACACGUAGGUAACCUGCCCCGGAGCGGGGGAUAACAUUUGGAAACAGAUGCUAAUACCGCAUAACAACAAAAGCCACAUGGCUUUUGUUUGAAAGAUGGCUUUGGCUAUCACUCUGGGAUGGACCUGCGGUGCAUUAUAUUAUUGGUAAGGCAACGACUUACCAAAGACGAUGAUGCUUAGCCGAGAUAAGAAGACUGAUCGGCCACAAUGGAACUGAGAACACGGUCCAUACUCCUACGGGAGGCAGCAGUAGGAAAUCUUCCACAAUGGGCGCAAGCCUGAUGGAGCAACACCGCGUGAGUGAAGAAGGGUUUCGGCUCGUAAAGCUCUGUUGUUGGAGAAGAACGUGCGUGAGAGUAACUGUUCACGCAGUGACGGUAUCCAACCAGAAAGUCACGGCUAACUACGUGCCAGCAGCCGCGGUAAUACGUAGGUGGCAAGCGUUAUCCGGAUUUAUUGGGCGUAAAGCGAGCGCAGGCGGUUGCUUAGGUCUGAUGUGAAAGCCUUCGGCUUAACCGAAGAAGUGCAUCGGAAACCGGGCGACUUGAGUGCAGAAGAGGACAGUGGAACUCCAUGUGUAGCGGUGGAAUGCGUAGAUAUAUGGAAGAACACCAGUGGCGAAGGCGGCUGUCUGGUCUGCAACUGACGCUGAGGCUCGAAAGCAUGGGUAGCGAACAGGAUUAGAUACCCUGGUAGUCCAUGCCGUAAACGAUGAGUGCUAGGUGUUGGAGGGUUUCCGCCCUUCAGUGCCGGAGCUAACGCAUUAAGCACUCCGCCUGGGGAGUACGACCGCAAGGUUGAAACUCAAAGGAAUUGACGGGGGCCCGCACAAGCGGUGGAGCAUGUGGUUUAAUUCGAAGCUACGCGAAGAACCUUACCAGGUCUUGACAUCUUGCGCUAACCUUAGAGAUAAGGCGUUCCCUUCGGGGACGCAAUGACAGGUGGUGCAUGGUCGUCGUCAGCUCGUGUCGUGAGAUGUUGGGUUAAGUCCCGCAACGAGCGCAACCCUUGUUACUAGUUGCCAGCAUUAAGUUGGGCACUCUAGUGAGACUGCCGGUGACAAACCGGAGGAAGGUGGGGACGACGUCAGAUCAUCAUGCCCCUUAUGACCUGGGCUACACACGUGCUACAAUGGACGGUACAACGAGUCGCAAGCUCGCGAGAGUAAGCUAAUCUCUUAAAGCCGUUCUCAGUUCGGACUGUAGGCUGCAACUCGCCUACACGAAGUCGGAAUCGCUAGUAAUCGCGGAUCAGCAUGCCGCGGUGAAUACGUUCCCGGGCCUUGUACACACCGCCCGUCACACCAUGGGAGUUUGUAACGCCCAAAGUCGGUGGCCUAACC
rnacentral:rRNA from 1 species